AUUGAACGCUGGCGGCAUGCCUUACACAUGCAAGUCGAACGGCAGCGGGCCUUCGGGUGCCGGCGAGUGGCGAACGGGUGAGUAAUGCAUCGGAACGUGCCAUUGAGUGGGGGGAUAACGUAGCGAAAGUUACGCUAAUACCGCAUAUUCUGUGAGCAGGAAAGCAGGGGACCGCAAGGCCUUGCGCUCUUUGAGCGGCCGAUGUCAGAUUAGCUAGUUGGUGAGGUAAAGGCUUACCAAGGCGACGAUCUGUAGCGGGUCUGAGAGGAUGAUCCGCCACACUGGAACUGAGACACGGUCCAGACUCCUACGGGAGGCAGCAGUGGGGAAUUUUGGACAAUGGGCGCAAGCCUGAUCCAGCCAUGCCGCGUGAGUGAAGAAGGCCUC
rnacentral:rRNA from 1 species